GCGGGGUUGUGCACCGUCCCGUCACCCUUGGAGACGCUGGUGUUGACCUCGGCGGCGGCGAAGCAGGCGGAGGAGUGGGUCUUUAUCUCUGCUCUCCUUCGCCGCGGUGGAACAAGAUGAACUCCAGAACUAGUUACCAUCUUUAAAGCAGACAUCCAGCACCGGACCAGAGCGGCAGACUGAAAGUAUUUUGAAGAUGUCUCUACAAAAGUUGAUUUUAUCACAGAAGAGGAGGGCUUCACAAAAAGAUACAACUGCUUCCAAAAUUCUGAUGGAAAUAUUGUCUAGUUGGACAGCUGAAUUAACUGAGCACCUAAGCAAGAUCAGAUCCCACUUUUGAAUUGAAAAUUCCCAAGGUUGACAAUAUUAUUCAGGAAACAAAAUAUGCCAUUCAUAAACCUGCCUGGGAUGGUGCAUUUGGAGUAAAAAAAAUUGUCAGCUUUUGUUGAUGAUUCAAAAGGAUCCUUUGACACCAACGUCCCUGACAAAGAUCCUGCAGUGCACUGGAGUGGUGAUUUUUGGACCCAUCAACUAAAGUAGUAACAGCAGAGGCACUGCUUGAAGAUGAAAAAGAUGACAGAAGUAGCUAUAGCAGCUAGUGUGAUCACACAAGCAGAUGGGAUAUUUGUUUGGAACUCUGAAGAAAUUGUGGCAGUGAUUCUGCCACAUCUGUUGUGUAUUUCCACCAUCUUCUGCUCUUAAGACAUGGUGUUGAUGACCAGAAUAACCACAAAUCAGAACUGAAAAAGUAUGACACCUGGUGGGACCUGAGCUGUGAUGCACAAUUGCUGAGAAAUGAAAUGAGGCCUCUUGUGAAUUAAGUUGAUGCAGCUGUGUCUUUAAAGACUGAUACUGUGACUUCACACAAGAGAAAGAAAUCAUGACUGCUAUCUGGAAACAAAGGCCUGGGCUUUUUUGUGCCUCUGACCUUGUCUACAAGGAAAUGGCUUUAAAAACGGUGAUUGGGUCCCAAUUCAGUGAUUACUGCCCCCAGUCUGGGCAACCCCAAGUUUUUGCUUGCUCAGGACUUCAACUCUGUAAGUAUCAGUGGGAUAAAGUCUCGACCCAGUAAAACCUCCCUCUGAGACUAACUCAGCUAACCUGAUGGUUGUAAGAGCACAGUUAGAAUGUUCAUAUGUCUGAAAAUAAUGGGGUAUUUUACUUCAGACUGAAUUUUUUUUAACAUUUUUUUUAAAAAGUUUCCAGGAAGACCAUCAAAAUGUAACUCAGAGUACUAAGACGCCUUGCGUCUUAAAACCAUUCAUUCUGGAAGAGGGGAAUGCUCAAGGAUGGUACCCUAAAAAUUUGUUAAUAUCAACACCAGAUGAAAUAGUUUAGUUAGUGGCUUCUUAGGGAAAAAGUAAUGUUGGGGGUUUGGAGAUGGGUAACAGAGUUGAUGUGCAUCUUUUAGCAGUUUUUUUUUACAAAGUGUAAUUAAUAAUAAGCAAGGAAAAGAUCACCAAUUCUUGCUGGGAAGGAAAUAAGGCUGAAGUCAGAUGAUAGCGUACGGUGGUGUAACAGUGCAGAAUGAAAAUGCACUUGAGACAGCCAUACAGCACAUGUUAGGUAUCUUUGUUUAGGGUGUUGUGUGACCAGAAUGAAAACCAGGCUUAAGGGAGUUGAACAGAGUAUGUUAAGAGACAUGAAUGGGUGGACUGGAUACCAAGUUAUGGUUAGACGAUAGGUAAAUGUAGGCUUUAUAAGGAGCAGGCUGGGAAAUAACUACUGGUUUGUCAGAGUGUAUGCAAUGCCUCUGGUUUGACUUUGAAUGGGCAAAUUGUCAUGUUAUUUUGUCCAUUGCCUUACAAGUCUGAAAAGCAGUGUGCUUUUGCUUUUGCUAAAAACAGUCAUACCAGAUUCAAAAUGUUAACUCUGUUUCUCUCUCCACAGAUGCUGCCAGAUCUGCUGAGUUUCUCUAGUAUUCUCUCUGUUUGUUUCAUAUUUCUGGCAUCUGUGGAAUUUUGCUUUUAUUCACAUAUACUUUGCACUGUAUUGGUAUUGCAGAGCCUGAUAUAUGAGUCUUAUAUCUGAAUAGACAAUUUAGACAAUUACUUAUCUUCCGUACCACAAAGAUGGAUGCAGAUAAAUGGCGAUAAAUAUAGAUAACAAAGUGUGGAGCUGGAGGAACACAGCAGACUGGGCAGCAACGGAGGAACAGGAAAGCUGAUGUUUCAGGUCAGGACCCUUCUUCACAAAAAUUGGGUAUUUUAUUUCAGAUUGAAUCUUUGCACUACUUUUUCCCUAAGAAGCCACUAAUAAAACUAUUUUGUCUGAUGUUGAUAUGAGCAAAUUUUUAGGGUGCCAUCCUUGAGCAUUCCCCUCUCCUAGAACGAAUAGUUUUAAGACACAAGAGCAUCUUAGUACUCUGAGUUACAUUUUGAUGGUCUUCUUGGAUCAUGUUUAAAAAAAUGUUAAUACAAAGAUUCAAUCUGAAAUAAAAUACUCAAUUUUUCUGAAGUAGGAUCACAACCUGAAACAUCAGCAUUCCAGUUCCUCUGAUGCUGCCUGGCCUGCUGUUUUUCCUUCAGUUCCACUCUAUAUUUUUUCCGACUGCAGCAUCUACAGUUUUUGCUAUCUCUGCAGAUAGAUGGUAGUGUGCUUUCUGUACUGUUGCCAUCUUUCAGGGAAACACCAGGGAGGCUUUACGGGUGAAUCCAUGAUUGACAAUUGCCCAAGCAAUCAGAUCCCAUUGGCAUAAAUAUAAGCCAAAACUCAAAAAUCCCUAGUUAUCUUUACAAUAAGUCAAAUAAAAACAGGAAUGCUUAAAUCACAAAGACCUCAAUGAAGAAUUUCAGAGUUUUAAUGGCAUAAACCACAAGCUUGUACCAAAACCAGAAGUUGCUGGGAAAGUUCGGCAGGUCUGCCAGCAUCUUCCUCAGAAAGGGUCAUUCAACCGAAACCAUUAAUUCUUAUUUCUCUCCACAGUUGGUGUCGGACUUGCUGAGCUUUUCCAGCAAUUUCUGUUUUUGUUUCUGACUUACAGCAUCCACAGUUCUUUUGGAUUUUUUUUAUAGUGUGAAGUUUGUGUAAUUUGAAGUUUGACCCAAUGGACAACUUUGAUUUUGCUCUCCUCAAACAUUAGCAGUCAAGACUUAAGCUAUUGAGGUUUUAUGUUCUGGAAUCCCUACCUACACUGUUUUGGUUCUUUUGGCCUCUCUCUCCUCCUUUAAGUUUCCCCUUAAAAUCUACAUCUUUGAGUAAGAUUUUGCCCCAGAAGACUACCAAUACACUCCAUUAUGUGGCUGCAUCCUCCUUGUUAGAUUUACCAUUUCUAACAUAAUCCGUGAACUAUGUCAAGAAAAAUUCUACAGUUGGCUGCUAGGAAAUCACAAAAUUAAACUCACUUUGUGUGGGUCAUCAGCGAUGUUCCCUGUAAGCUGUGUGACUCUGUGGCCAUGCAUAAGAGCCAGCCUCCUUUAAGCUACCAUACAUGUGUGAUAGCAUACAUGACCAACUUAGCUUCAGCUUUGCCUGUAGCACUCUCAACACAGUCUUUUCUGAUGAGGGGUCUGGGCCCAAAACGCCAGCUUUUGUGCUCCUAAGAUGCUGUUUGGCCUGCUGUGUUCAUCCAGCUCCACACUUUGUUAUCUCAGUCACGUGGUUCUGGCUUUAGGUCCCAUCCUAGGGUUUGAAUACAAAAUUCAAGGCUGACUCUCCAAUGCAAUAUUGAACCUUUCAGAUGAGGCAUUAAACCAGGCUCCAAAGACCUGCUCGGGUGAAUUUAAAGGAUCCCAUGGUACUAUUUAAAAGAAAACUAGUGGAAUUAUCCCCAGUGUUGAGGCGAAUACUUAUCCUUUGAUUAACAUCACAAAAAAAUUAUCUGAUCAUUAUCAUAUUGUUGUUUGUGGGAGCUUGCUGUGCACAUAUUGGCUACCACAUUUCCUACAUUGUAAA